UGCAGUAGAACGCUGAAGACUUUAGCUUGCUAAAGUUGGAAGAGUUGCGAACGGGUGAGUAACGCGUAGGUAACCUGCCUACUAGCGGGGGAUAACUAUUGGAAACGAUAGCUAAUACCGCAUAACAGCAUUUAACACAUGUUAGAUGCUUGAAAGGAGCAAUUGCUUCACUAGUAGAUGGACCUGCGUUGUAUUAGCUAGUUGGUGAGGUAACGGCUCACCAAGGCGACGAUACAUAGCCGACCUGAGAGGGUGAUCGGCCACACUGGGACUGAGACACGGCCCAGACUCCUACGGGAGGCAGCAGUAGGGAAUCUUCGGCAAUGGGGGCAACCCUGACCGAGCAACGCCGCGUGAGUGAAGAAGGUUUUCGGAUCGUAAAGCUCUGUUGUAAGAGAAGAACGUGUGUGAGA
rnacentral:rRNA from 1 species